UACAGAGGUCUCAAGCGUUGUCCGGAUUUACUGGGCGUAAAGAGCGCGCAGGCGGUCGAUCAAGUCGAGUGUGAAAGCCCCCGGCUCAACUGGGGAGGGUCAUUCGAUACUGAUCGACUCGAAGGCAGGAGAGGGUAGUGGAAUUCCCGGUGUAGUGGUGAAAUGCGUAGAUAUCGGGAGGAACACCAGUGGCGAAGGCGACUACCUGGCCUGUUCUUGACGCUGAGGCGCGAAAGCUAGGGGAGCAAACGGGG
rnacentral:rRNA from 1 species